UACAGAGGAUGCGAGCGUUAUCCGGAUUUAUUGGGUUUAAAGGGUGCGUAGGCGGGCUUUUAAGUCAGCGGUAAAAAUUCGGGGCUCAACCCCGUCCGGCCGUUGAAACUGGGGGCCUUGAGUGGGCGAGAAGAAGGCGGAAUGCGUGGUGUAGCGGUGAAAUGCAUAGAUAUCACGCAGAACCCCGAUUGCGAAGGCAGCCUUCCGGCGCCCUACUGACGCUGAGGCACGAAAGUGCGGGGAUCGAACAGG
rnacentral:rRNA from 1 species